rnacentral:rRNA from 1 species
AUUCGCCCUUAGAGUUUGAUCCUGGCUCAGGAUGAACGCUGGCGGCGUGCCUAACACAUGCAAGUCGAACGGGUGUACGGGAUGGAAGGCUCCGGCCGGAAGCCCCGUGCAUGAGUGGCGGACGGGUGAGUAACGCGUGGGCAACCUGCCCUGUACAGGGGGACAACACUUAGAAAUAGGUGCUAAUACCGCAUAACGGGGGGAGCCGCAUGGCACCCCCCUGAAAACUCCGGUGGUACAGGAUGGGCCCGCGUCUGAUUAGCUGGUUGGCAGGGUAACGGCCUACCAAGGCGACGAUCAGUAGCCGGCCUGAGAGGGCGGACGGCCACACUGGGACUGAGACACGGCCCAGACUCCUACGGGAGGCAGCAGUGGGGGAUAUUGCACAAUGGGGGGAACCCUGAUGCAGCGACGCCGCGUGGGUGAAGGAGCGUUUCGGCGCGUAAAGCCCUAUCGGCAGGGAAGAAGGAGGACGGUACCUGACUAAGAAGCCCCGGCUAACUACGUGCCAGCAGCCGCGGUAAUACGUAGGGGGCAAGCGUUAUCCGGAUUUACUGGGUGUAGAGGGCGUGUAGGCGGGGAGGCAAGUCAGAUGUGAAAACCACGGGCUCAACCUGUGGCCUGCAUUUGAAACUGUUUUUCUUGAGUGCUGGAGAGGCAAUCGGAAUUCCGUGUGUAGCGGUGAAAUGCGUAGAUAUACGGAGGAACACCAGUGGCGAAGGCGGAUUGCUGGACAGUAACUGACGC